UGUGAACAUCAGAGGACUCUAAGGAAAUAUUGGCCACAAGUUUAGAGGGAAGGAACCACAUUUGGGUGCAACAUCCCAUAAUCCCAGUACCACUAAGGUGGAAGCAGGAUUCUGAGUUUGAGGCCAGUCUGGGUCCACAUAGAAAAUAACUUGAACACACCUACCUCUAUCAGCCACAAGCAACACAGUCUUCCAACUUCUGAGAUACUAUGCAACCUUGGCUGACCUUGAACUCACCGAGAUUAGCCCACAUCUGCUCCACAAGCCUUGGGAUUAAGGAUGUGUAUCACCACCCACAGCCUCUUUCAGCACCUUUGCCUCCCUUGCCUGUGACUACCACUGUUUCCCUUUGAAUGUUUAAAUAUUUGGGGCUGUUCUCAUCUGAAAUGCAGCAAGCACUCCCGAAUCUCUAGCAAGCUCACAGGUGACAGGUCCCGCUCAAUUGGAACGGUUGUUCAUGGUUCUUCUCCAGGGCAUGCUGACCUUGUGAGUUCUGUUUCUCCGUCUGUGUGCCUAUGUCUUUGUCUCUCCUAUUGAGAAAGAAUGAACACGUAUAGAAUAGUCAUUGGGUGGAAAUGUUCGCCCUCUGGCUGACUUUGCCCUUCCUCCAUGCUCUAGAGGUGGGAGCCCUCCUGGUUCUGUAUCUGGGAUUCCCUUCCACUUGCUGACUCCUUCAUGGGGUACAACUUUCUGCUUUGUGGUCUUUAAGGGUCUUUUUCCCAAGGCCCUUAAGCCCCAGCUCUCUCCCUCUCCCCCCCU
rnacentral:lncRNA from 1 species